AUGAAUUCACGGGGCAGGAAUUUCUUGUUUGGAAGAGUUCAGAGUCGGUUUUGCCCCACAUCACAGGGCGCAGGUAUGCGCAAGCUGUUCCUACAAGUUGUAGGGCCGGCGCUCAGCGCAGCGUCUCCGAACCCGACACCCAGAUUAAUGCACGCUUGCGGUCGCCCCGUAAUUAAAAUCGUCUCCGAUUCUCCACGAACCCAACAGUUUCCUCAUAACGAACAGAGGGAGAUGAAAGGGCCCUUCAGUGGGAAAAAAGGGCCGGGUUAUAAAUAUGGCAUUACUUCAUCCACCACAACGCCGGCUGGGUUGCUGGGGUUGGGGCCAGCGCUGCCCCCAAAGGACGGCAGGGUCCCCGCGGCCACCAGCUUGGGGACAUCUGGGGACAUUUGGGAUUCCAAACUGACCGCCCCCAGUGCAUGCAGCGCUCCGUCCUGCAGAACAAAGCCGGGUUCGUUUCUUGGGUUUUUUUUUGGAGAUUCCGAGCACUGUCCCAAAGCUUCGCACAAAGCACCGCCAUCCCCAUCCGAAACCAAAAACGCACGGCAGCCACUCGGGUCUCUACCAUGGAGGAGCUGCAGGGCGGCUGGCACCCGGCUGGAAGCAAUUAUCCCCGCGGCAGCGCCGGGAGGAGGAGUGCUCGGAGCUGUGGGUUGUGUGAGGCGAGCGGGGAACAGAGGGGCUUUGUGCGCCCCGGCACCCCGCGCCUCGCCGUCCCAUCCAUCCCCCCACGCCUUCCGGGGCCUUUGUGAAACGCUCCCCGGCCCCGUUAGCACCAAGGCAGGUGCUCUCAGUGCCACCAAGACAAGAUUUCCCAGUGCCACCAAUGCGGGAUUUCUCGGUGCCACCAAGACAAGAUCUCCCAGUGUCACCAAGGGUCCCAGUGUCACCAAGGUUCCCGGUGUCAUCAAGGCAGGAUCACUCCUUGCCACCAAAGGAGGAUCUGCCAGCACCACCAAGGCAGGAGCUCCCAGUGCCACCAAGGCAGGAGCUCCCAGUGCCACCAAGGCAGGAUCUCCCAGUGCUCAAGCUGGAGGAUGCCCACAGAGGAUGCCCACAGAGGGAAGCAGCGCUGCCUUCCAGUUCCACUGGGAGCGAGCCCACGCUGACAGCGGCAUCCAUAGAUCCUCUGGGUUUUGGCCUUAG
rnacentral:lncRNA from 1 species